UGAGGUGCUGAGACCCUACUUGUC
rnacentral:piRNA from 1 species